AGCGAACGCUGGCGGCAGGCCUAACACAUGCAAGUCGAACGAACCUUUCGGGGUUAGUGGCGGACGGGUGAGUAACACGUGGGAACGUGCCUUUAGGUUCGGAAUAACUCAGGGAAACUUGUGCUAAUACCGAAUGUGCCCUUCGGGGGAAAGAUUAAUCGCCUUUAGAGCGGCCCGCGUCUGAUUAGCUAGUUGGUUGAGGUAAUGGCUCACCAAGGCGACGAGCAGUAGCUGGUCUGAGAGGAUGAUCCGCCACAUUGGGACUGAGACACGGCCCAAACUCCUACGGGAGGCAGCAGUGGGGUAUCUUGCGCAAUGGGCGAAAGCCUGACGCAGCCAUGCCGCGUGAAUGAUGAAGGUCUUAGGAUUGUAAAAUUCUUUCACCGGGGACGAUAAUGACGGUACCCGGAGAAGAAGCCCCGGCUAACUUCGUG
rnacentral:rRNA from 1 species